AAAGAUCUUAUCAUUAAGAUUCUUCAUACCAAUUCCUUCAACUUUAGAAAUACAGUGAUGUGUGCAAAACUCUUGAACUUUUACUUGGGGAAAUUGUUCAUACAGAUGAAAACUCACAUGCUAAACUACCUGCUUGGUAGUGUCUUCUGCCACAGAGGAGAACAAACGGCUAGUGUUGAGUUUUUAUAACAAGAUGAAUUUUUCAAAAUUACAUAGCAAAAUACUGUAAUAAAAUAAUAUAGAAGAGGCAAUUCAGAAGUGCUGAAGAAGGGAUGUAACCACUGAGGCACCAAGCCAUCAGCCCUGCCCCUGUACCAGUGUGUAACUCCGGGCUCAGCCAGACCCAAGCUGCCAGGGCCCCCUCGUGGUCACGACACGCAGGAUAAUCGCGGAUGCUCUUGUGCCUCACUGCACCUGCACGUUUUUAAAACUGAGCCAGUGAAGCACCACUGCUGUGACAGAGCAUUCUGGCAUUAAAUGGGGCACAAGAAUCUUUCUUACAGGCACUGAGUGCCCUGGGGUUUUCCCAGCCUUACUAAAGGCCAAGACACUUCCAGUAAAGUGUCCAGGCACUUUAAGUAAAUUACAGUUGUACAAAUUACCAUACCAGAGACAAAGAUACCAUUUCCGUGACACUGGACAAAAGCGAGCACAGGAAGCAAAGAACAGGACAUGCACAUAGUGCCAAUCCCACUCCCGAGCUGGAAGUAGUUAGUGGUAACUGGGAGUGGGGCUGCAGCCCAGCCUCAUCCCCGGUGUACAGCUGUGAGAAGCAGGUGAGCAGCACUGACAGCAGUGAGCCAUGCAGUGCCCAGGGGCACUGACCAUCACCACAGGAACACAGGGCACUCAGGUGCAAUGCAUGAACAUGAGGGGUACAAAAGGAUCUAAACAACAUCCUUGUAGCCUUCUGAAGUGGUGUUACUCUGUGUGGGUUGAAGCUUUAUGAAAUUGUAUGGUGAUACUCUGUGUAUUGUGGCUGUCUCCACUGUGGCAUAUGCUGCGACACCCAGCCUUCUAUGGCCCAGGACUCGAUACCAUAAUGGUGUCUUUAUUUUUGGCAGAUAAAUUUUUUCUUGAGCUUGCCCAAUCUUUUUCUAAGGCCCAUUGAAGAUUUUAGCACUCCUAACUGCUGGAUGAAAAGAGGCCAGAGGUGUUGUCAUUAGAGGCAGUAUUUCUUAGUUCUGCAUGGAAAGAGAUACAUAUAAAAUUAUGCUUUCUUUGUAAUACUGAAAGACUCAAGAACCACUACCAUCUGCAAACCUGAAAGACCUAACAGAUUUUCAUGUGCCAGAACAGUUGCAAGCAGCUUGCUUACCCCAAAGAAUAAAUCUGCUCCUCUAAUACAGAGACCAUACUACUUGUCCUUGCUUCAAGGUAGUGUCACAAUGCACAAAGCUCAGUGCAAAGAGGCACACAGUGCUAUCAGUGUCAUUAAGAAGUAAAUGAAGUCUAAAAAGUGCCUCAUUUAAAGGUCCACAUUCAAGCCUGAACAUGACCUCCCAUUCUAUUUGUUAAAUGCGGGGCUCAGACAUUUCUCCUUGGAUCAUUACCAUGACCCCUCUCUGCCAAAAGUACCUUUACAUGGUUUAAAUCAAAAAACUGCCUUAGGUCAUGUUUAUUCCCAUCAGUUAAAUGGAUACCAGUCACUUUGUAAAUAUUCUUUACCUCAUUUAUUAAAUGGAAUAUUGUAUUUUAAGGCUAACACAAACACUCUAAGGAAUAUGCCAUCAAUCCAUGGAUAUUAUUUAAUUACCUAUCCAGUUCAGAAACUAACUUGCUUAUAGAUCUCCAGGUUAGACCCAAAACAGGAAGCUAGGUACAGUUCUGAUUUCAAAAUGUCACUUUCCGUGUAAAACCUCCACAGCAUUUCUAUGUUUCUGCUGUUUGUUGCAUAACUUUUUAAAACUAGCAGAAUUCCAAAAUAACCAGGAACAUGUCACAGAUGUGUUUUCAGUGUUCACAAUUUAAGCAACCCAGAAUUGCAAGCACAUUUAAACAUGUAUAAUGCUCUCAAAACUGAGGAUGUGUUGGUGCUGCCGUUACUGUGAUGGUACACUGAGAUUAUUUACCUGGCAUGCAAAACAGCUGGAGCUCAAGCUAUCCCACUUAAAAACUUCAAUGAACAAUAAACCCCCACCUAAAUAGAGCUCAAUUGUUAGGGCACAACAAGGAACUUCAUUUUCAGUCACUAUCACAACUCGGAAUGACACAGAGAUAUCGGACUUGAACAUGAAGACAUGUCCUGUUCUGAUAAGCUGAAAUGAGACUUUUCUUUCUCACUAGCUAACUUAGCCCUCCCCUUUUUAAAAAGAAAUAAAAACCUUUUUGCUGACAGUAUCAUUCUUGUACAACCAUCUCCUUGUAUACCAUGUGAGAACAAACCACAAACUUAUAAAUCACAAUUCUGUUCUGCAGCAGAAUGCCUGAUGUUAACCCUCUGUGAUCAUUUAAACCCUGCAAUUUGAAUACUGGUGCUUUUAUUAGUGUUUUCAAAAUGAGGUGAUAGGUCUUCUAACAGGAACGUCAGCAAAAUGUCAGGAGUCAUGCAAAUCCCAUUAAUGCUUCUUCUGAACAGAUGAUUUAAAUCAUUAUCUGGAAAAAACAAGAAGUUUCACUUAGACUAAUAGAAGACAGGACCUGGUGACAUAAUUAUCUGUUUCUAGAGUGUAUGUGGACAAAUUGUUUUAAGUCUUAUCAGUACGUAGAAGUGUUUAUCCUCUGAGUGCUGCAUAUUGCAUAAUUCAAAAGUAUUUGACCAUACUAAAUAUUUUAUUAAAAAGCAUUCUGUUAAGCUUAAUAUCUCAUAGGCCAAUCUCAUAAAACCACAGUAACUACAAAUUCAGUACUUCUAUUUAACCUAGUACACAACAUUUCUGAGAUGCUUUCCAGCAUUUUAUAGCAGUUUUUUCAGUGUUCAGCAGAUAUUACUCUAUCUGCUAAACAAUAUCAGACUGCAAAAUUGCUCUUACUGUUGAUAGAUCAAUAAUGACACGGGAAAAGUCAUUACCUCCGUGGCAACAGAGUGGCAACUGUGGGAGGAAUAUUGCGCAUGCUGCUGCUGCGCUCCGACAGGCACGCCUCGGCUUCCUCGCGCUGCUGCUCUCUCUGCAAGCCUGGUAUGCCCAGGGUACCAGCAACCAAGGGCACCUCUUAGACUACAGAGGAUUACACUACAGCUGUGGUUACGUGGUUUCUGAAAGAAUACGCACUCACAAGGGUUUAUUACACUUGGGUCGGAUGUCUUUAUGUUACUUAUUUUUAGUGAACCAUCCCUUUGUAGAAAUAGCUCGGACAAAAUUCAGGAAGGCAAAUACUAGAGUAUUCAGUUCUUAGCCCAAUAUUUUGUUGAAAGAAAACACCUAGUUGUCUUUAAGAACAAAAAGAUAUCUUUUUUGUCAAUCAAUUUUUAUUUAAUUCCAUUUUGACUCCGCAGGCUCUAAGUGGCAGGAGUCUUUAUACUGGAUUAAAAUGACAAAAGAGACCCCUUGGGAUAUUACAUUUAACACUUGAUAUGUCUUUGUAUAUUGAAACAGUCCAACAAAUAGGAAAACAUACUUUUGCUCUGCCUAAGUUACUGCAGUUCCAUCUAGCACAAACAGGACAUUUUUUUUUUCAUGCUUCACAACCUUCACCAUGUUAAUCUCAACAUAUAAACUACAGAAAGCAAAUACUCCUCUGUCUUGAUCACCAUGGCUGAGCCUGGAUUGUGAUGUUUUGUUGAAAGCAAAACAUACUAACUCAAAAAAUACACGAUGUUCAUCAGCAACACAACAUAUUCAGAUUAAAAGUGUUUCCUCAUAAAUACAUCUACUUUUAAAUACUGCAGCAACACUUUACUUAUUCAUAACCUAUUUACAUGGGACGACAAAGGUCAAGUUGCAACAAUUCCCUUCGGAAUCUGUUCUUAACACAUUUAAACAAAAGGCUACAGAAGCGAUCCUGAGGGUGGCUUCAAAAAAAUUAAAACAAAGUUGUCACUCAAGCAUCAGCUGGAUUCCACAAAAAACAAGAAUAAGGCAAGCUCUCUUCUGAAUGCUGAAAACAAAGCUCUCACAAGAACAGAACUGGAUAGUAAAAGUUCUUUUCCUUACAAACAUAAAUAAGACAAAUGGUCAUUAAUACACCAAAAGUCCAGACGCUACAGCUGCAAUAGAAAUUAACACUCAAAAUAUACUGUGACUUAUUAUUCGUGAGAAACUGUAUUUUAGUAAGAGGAAAACUCGUCAACAUUUUCUUCUACUUACAGGAUAGACCCUGCUGCUUUAGGACUGCCACGCCAAGUUCUUGGAAAGAAUUCGGCAUCUGCCCAGGAGAGCGAGCAAAGCUGGCUGUACAGGCGGCCGUCUGCAGGACACGUUCCAAGCCCAGCACUUCUCUGGCUGACAUGCGGCAGUUCUGCCCUUGCUCCAGCACCGACGGAACCAUCCUUUUGCACAGGCAGCCAGCCCAAUCGUGCUCCCAGUUUUCCAUCCCGCUGCCACCCCUGCCAACUGCUCGGGUGACAAGUCAAGCUGUGCAAAACUACUCGGGUCUCCCCUCUCAGCACCAAAUCCGAGCACGCAAAGCGCCGCUACUUUCUCAGGGACAAACCGCCUGCUUUAGCCCACCAAAAAUCAACCAAACCCGGGAAACCGAACGCAGUCAAAUCGCUCCCCGGACACAGCCAAAGCCAGGAAUGAGACAGACCCACGCAGCAGUUUGCCAGCUGCCCACAUACAGCCUCCGCCGCCUGCGAGGGCAGAAGGUGCGGACCGAGCGGCGCUGCCCGUCCGUGCGCGGCCGCCCCGCUGCCAUUGCACACCUGAGCACGCCUCAGCACCGCGGCUUCACCCCGCGCACCCGCCCCAUCAGCCCCUAUUCCGGGAUCUGCCCUGACCCUUAGCCAGCCCCAGCCCGAGAGAGCUCCACCACCGCCUGCACCACCAAAGGGCCGGCGGGAUAAAACCUAGACCCGCCCGAGGGCCGGCGGCGCCGGCACGGCCCGGGGUCUUCGAGGGCCCCCCAUGCCCGAAGGGACAGGCUGAGCACGGGAGAGGCUGAGCACAGCAGGGCCGCCCAGCCACGCCUCCCCGCCGUGCUGCUCGGCGCUGCCCGCGGAGCCGACGUGGGGGCACAGGAGGGGAAGCGCGGCCGGUCCAUCCAUGCCGGCGGUGGC
ensembl:lncRNA